rnacentral:tRNA from 1 species
GAGGGUAUAGCUCAAGUGGUAGAGCACAUGCUUAGCAUGCACAGGGUCCUGGGUUCAAUCCCCAGUACCUCCU